AGAGUUUGAUCCUGGCUCAGAUUGAACGCUGGCGGCAGGCCUAACACAUGCAAGUCGAGCGGUAGCACAGAGAGCUUGCUCUCGGGUGACGAGCGGCGGACGGGUGAGUAAUGUCUGGGAAACUGCCUGAUGGAGGGGGAUAACUACUGGAAACGGUAGCUAAUACCGCAUAACGUCGCAAGACCAAAGUGGGGGACCUUCGGGCCUCAUGCCAUCAGAUGUGCCCAGAUGGGAUUAGCUAGUAGGUGGGGUAAUGGCUCACCUAGGCGACGAUCCCUAGCUGGUCUGAGAGGAUGACCAGCCACACUGGAACUGAGACACGGUCCAGACUCCUACGGGAGGCAGCAGUGGGGAAUAUUGCACAAUGGGCGCAAGCCUGAUGCAGCCAUGCCGCGUGUAUGAAGAAGGCCUUCGGGUUGUAAAGUACUUUCAGCGAGGAGGAAGGCGUUAAGGUUAAUAACCUUAGCGAUUGACGUUACUCGCAGAAGAAGCACCGGCUAACUCCGUGCCAGCAGCCGCGGUAAUACGGAGGGUGCAAGCGUUAAUCGGAAUUACUGGGCGUAAAGCGCACGCAGGCGGUCUGUCAAGUCGGAUGUGAAAUCCCCGGGCUCAACCUGGGAACUGCAUUCGAAACUGGCAGGCUAGAGUCUUGUAGAGGGGGGUAGAAUUCCAGGUGUAGCGGUGAAAUGCGUAGAGAUCUGGAGGAAUACCGGUGGCGAAGGCGGCCCCCUGGACAAAGACUGACGCUCAGGUGCGAAAGCGUGGGGAGCAAACAGGAUUAGAUACCCUGGUAGUCCACGCCGUAAACGAUGUCGACUUGGAGGUUGUGCCCUUGAGGCGUGGCUUCCGGAGCUAACGCGUUAAGUCGACCGCCUGGGGAGUACGGCCGCAAGGUUAAAACUCAAAUGAAUUGACGGGGGCCCGCACAAGCGGUGGAGCAUGUGGUUUAAUUCGAUGCAACGCGAAGAACCUUACCUACUCUUGACAUCCAGAGAACUUAGCAGAGAUGCUUUGGUGCCUUCGGGAACUCUGAGACAGGUGCUGCAUGGCUGUCGUCAGCUCGUGUUGUGAAAUGUUGGGUUAAGUCCCGCAACGAGCGCAACCCUUAUCCUUUGUUGCCAGCGGUUAGGCCGGGAACUCAAAGGAGACUGCCAGUGAUAAACUGGAGGAAGGUGGGGAUGACGUCAAGUCAUCAUGGCCCUUACGAGUAGGGCUACACACGUGCUACAAUGGCAUAUACAAAGAGAAGCGACCUCGCGAGAGCAAGCGGACCUCAUAAAGUAUGUCGUAGUCCGGAUUGGAGUCUGCAACUCGACUCCAUGAAGUCGGAAUCGCUAGUAAUCGUAGAUCAGAAUGCUACGGUGAAUACGUUCCCGGGCCUUGUACACACCGCCCGUCACACCAUGGGAGUGGGUUGCAAAAGAAGUAGGUAGCUUAACCUUCGGGAGGGCGCUUACCACUUUGUGAUUCAUGACUGGGGUGAAGUCGUAACAAGGUAGCCG
rnacentral:rRNA from 1 species